ensembl:lncRNA
UUUUCACUUCUAAAAACAGUAAAAGUAUUAUACUAAAAAAAGGUAACAGUAUUUUACUAUUAAAAUUGCAUGAAAUUUCCCAUUAGAUUAGAUCUAUUACAGGUUUUCACUGUGUAUAUAGUAAGGAAAUUUACCAUUAACCAAUUAACAGGUUUUUACUGUAGCAUUUUUUCUAUCAAAAUUACUAUCAAAUUUAAUUAGUUAUUUAACAAAAGAAUCAUAUUGGAGAUUAAAAGAGUGCAAACUAUAACAAAUGCUAUAUGUGUGUGUGUGUGUGUCUGUGUGUAGAUUAGUAAGUUGGAGACCCAUGCCAGUGGAUGGUGGUACUGGUGAUGGUGGACCGCCUGGUCUGAGACUGAAGAAUGAAGCGAAUGAAGCAGACCUAUCCCGUCUGUCUCCUAAUAAACAGGCAUCAGAUCCUGGGCCCCGGCCAGAGGGGAGCCCUGCCACCCAAACCGCCAUCUCUCCCUCGCCUCUAGAGCCUAGCAGGGAGGCGAACGGCCACACGCCGUCUGACAGAAAGACAGAGAGAGCAAAGCCAGCGGGCCAUAUGUGUCUGGUUGUGAGAGGAACUCAAACCACAGACUGUCCAACUCAGAAAUGCUGCAUCUGCCCAGCUCUUCCUCAUGGCAGAAUUAAUGGAGCGCUCAGCAUGGAGCGGGGUGAAAAAGUCACAACUAAAGAAAGACAAGAUUUUUUUCUAGAAGACUGAUGUGACUGGACUCUUCCUCUCAUGUGAGUCUACAUCAUUUUAAAUAUUAAAUAUCAUUGUAUUUUACCAUAUCGUGACCCUGGACCACAAAACCAGUAUUAAGUCGCUGGGGUAUAUUUGUAGAAAUAGACAGAAAUACAUUGUAUGGGUCAAAAUUAUUGAUUUUUAUUUUAUGCCAAAAAUCAUUAGGAUAUUGAGAUCAUGUUCCAUGAAGAUAUCUUGUAAAUUUCCUACUGUAAAUAUAUCAAAACUAAAUUUUUGAUUAGUAAUAUGCAUUGCUAAGAACUUCAUCUGGACAUCUUUUAAGGCGAUUUUCUCAAUAUUUAGAUUUUUUUGCACCCGCAGAUUCCAGAUUUUCAAAUAGUUGUAUCUCGGCCAAAUAUUGUCCUAGAUACAAUAAUUGACACUUAUGACUUGUUUUGUGGUCCAGGGUCACAUAUUCUACUACUAUUUGAUUUUUAUGAAAGCUUUUUAAUUAAAAACUUGUGUGUUUUUAAAGCAUGACUGCUUGUAGUAAGGGCAGAGAGCUGCAGUAAUUCUCCAGGAAGUACACAGGGGGCGCUGUGCUCUCAUGUCUUACUACAUCACAUCUGUCUGUUUUGUAGUACAGCCUAGGAGAGGAUUUGCUUAAUGUAAUAAUGACCUACUAGUAGUUUCCGUGCCUCUCUGCCAAUCUCAACUUUUGUGUGAGUAAUAACUCUGGCAUUCACGCUCUUUGGGAUAACUGAUCAAAUUCUUAUCAAAAAGGUGCAGCUCAAGUGACAUUUGGCACCUCCGGGGUCUUGAGAAAAUGAAACUUCCCGGGAAUAUUUUAAAGAUUAGUGGGUAUUAGUUAAAAUCACCUUGUGUUACGUAAGGAGCAAGCUUUUUCUUGAACAUGACAUGGCAGCACACAGCUUUCAACACCUUAUUUUAUUGUCCCAACAUUCAAAAGUACAAAUAAUUCAAACACAACAGUUUUAUGAAAAAGAAAAAAACAUUUACAGCAAGUAUUUUUUUCCAUAUUUUGUUUCCAGUUUCAGAAAUGACCUAAACUAGCAAGGAUAACAUGAAGUCAUUCAUCGCAGUAAUUUGAUUCGUAAUAAGAAUAAGGAUAAUGAGAAUAAUAUUAAUCAUAGUAACAAUAAUCAAUAAUCGAUAGAUAAGUAAUAACAUAAGUAGGAGAGACCAGCUUGGUCCGGUGAACUUUUUUUUUCUUUUUUUUUCAUCUUUUUUUGUCUUUAAAGAUUUAUAGAUUUUUCAGAUAGUAAACAAACACAUUUCAGGAGAAAAUGAAUUAUGACAAGAGCCUUGUUCCUCACUUUGCCUUCCCUCCUACACUACUGGCUGAUGGGUUCCUAUUGGCAGGCUGCCACUAUAAGGCGCUACAGGGGGAGAGACACUGCGAUAUGGGCACGCACUAUAGAGGCACGGCCCCGCAUUUCCAACACCCCCGCAAACUCUCACGCGUCCUAGACGCUCUCCCGUGCAGUCAUCCACACUCAGACACGCGGAGGGUGAUGCCAUUAACCAAAAGAGGAGGACGUAAUGCAGGAAAUUUGUUCGUACAUCAGAACAACAUUCUACUGGGGUCGUUGCAUAAUUCAAACUCCCAGCCGCAGCGGGGUUUGAGAAGGGCCGUGCCGCCUCAGCCGCCCCCUUAGAGACGGAGCAGAGGAGGAUGGAUGGCAUUAGAGGUGGAGGAAUGUAAGACAGCUCAUGAACGUGACUUUUGUUUUCCGUUCUCCAGCAUUCACACCGGUCUUAACAAGAGCCGAGCUCUCCAUUCAGGAAGUUUACCUUUCAAAAUAGACUAUAUCUUAGAAAAUAUAUAACAGGUGUCAUCUAUCAAAUAUUAUCUGCUAUAGCUAUUUUUGUUCAACCAGUACAAUCAGAGUCAAUGCUUUUUAUUCUUUUCUCCUUUUUCUGGAGUAUCAAUGUGGUUUAAAUGAAGGUUACAGUUCAGAUGAGUCGAUGAAUCAUACUAAAACAAUGGACACAUAUCGAUCAAUCAAAUUAGGGCAGCAAAGCCUGACAUGAACGUCGUCGAGAUCCAUGAGAAACUACAUUUCAGACCCACAUUUUUGCAUAAAGUUUAAUCACGAAGCAACGGUAGUGUGUGGAGGGAGGGCGGGAAGUGGCUUUUAAAACUACACAAACUUAUCACAGGUUAUAUUGAACCAGAACAACUGUUAUAACAUUCUAUUAAGACUAAACUUUAUUGAAAAAGAUUUAAAGAUUUAUGUUUAACAAGACAAGAAAAAAGCAAUAGCAAAUUGAACUAUCGGCUAGGUUAUGCAUAGCGAGUAACUGUUUCUAUUAAUAAGGGAAGAGCCUCACCAACCCUCUUGACAUUUUUUUCGUUUUCGACUUUUAAAUUUUUUUGUAUUGUAAUUUUGAUAUAUUGGUACAAAGCACAAACGUACUAAAAUUUCUCAGUGCACAGGACUAAUGGAAGAGCGUCUCCCCUAGUCAUUUGUUCCCUUUAGCUCAGAAAGACCCCCCCUCCCUGUACCAUAAUCACGCAAAAACACAGACAACAUAAGAAAGGAACAAGUAAAUAAAUAAAUAAUCGAGAUAAAUAAAUAAUUUAAUCAAUGAGACAAUCAAUCAAUCGAUCAAUAAAUAAAUACAGAUUUUUCUCAAGAAGCUUUUUGUUCGAUUUCUUUUGCUGCGGCGGUAAAUCAAAUAAAUCGAUCCAAUUUUUCAGUUCUUUUUUUUUGCGUUUUUUUUUCUUUAUCUUCACAAGCGACAUGACAACAUAUUAAACAGGAUUCCUCACGAGUUUUUCUAAGUAACUGAACCAUCACUUCAUAAAGUUUUCAUAUGAAAAAAGACAAUCCCGAACGAAAAACAGUGACAACUCAGAUAGAUAUAGAUAUUGGAACAGAAAAUGUUGACUAUAUAUUAUCUAUUUGUACACAACAAAGAAAGACACAGUCGUAAUAGAUCCUUUGAGGAAACAAAUACUAGACUAACAGAACUAGCUAAUUAUCGCUGAAUUUUGACAAACGCUGUACACUCAGCAAAUAACCUAGAAGUAAGCAAGCCAAAGGAACGUCGUCGUGGACGCCCGAAUUUGUUUGUCUGGACCUUUUCCAGACCAGACGACGACCGACGACGGCAAUUUCGAAAGAAUAACAUCAACGAAAGAAGAAAAACAGCAGCUUAAUAUAAUGCCAACAUCGAAAUUUUCUUUUUUUUCUCUCUAAACAACACGAAGAACAACAAAGUUGGAUAUUUAAGAUAUGUGAACCAUGUAAUAUAGCACCUACUGUUGAUCGCUAAAGGAAGUACAUCUCGAAUGCGAUAUCACAAAAUCAUAGCGAAUUAAACGUAACCAUGUAUAUGUCAUCCGAAUGGUGAAAGAAGUGUGUGUGUGCGCGCGUGUGUGUAUCUUUAUUACUUAUAUUCCAAAGACGGAUGGUCUAACGUAAAUGAGUGGACGAUGAGUGGCCUUGCUUUGGGCUCUUGACUGUGAAGAUGUGGUUGGCCUGGGAAGACCCCUCCCCCUCUCCUAUUGGGUAUCGCUGUUGAAUAAUUACUGCUAUGAAAAAUUACCUGCCUGAAUUUGCAUCCCUUGAUAAAUUCUUCCAUCUACAAAAUUCUUCCAUCGCCAAUCCGGUUCUCCCCGAAAAACAAACGACCUUGGAUCCUAAAAAGUACCACGGCAGAACGAACAAGACAAGGUGGCACCUGACCCCUCCCCCCGUCCCUAAUUAGCCAGUCAAAAUAUUUUUCUCUUUUUUCAAAUCCAGAUUCUUGUAAAAAUUCUUCAAUAAUUAUUUGAAUCAUUAUUUAUAAAAAUAGAUCUUCUUUCUCUUUAUUUUUUCAUUUUUUCUAAACGCAUUUUCAAGCAAAGAGAUUUUCUCUUUGGCAACAGUGUGUGUGUAGGUUUUUUUUUUUUUUUGACGCAACGUGUCAUCAGGAGCGCUAGCCCGUCCCUUCCCUCGCCCCUUCCCCCUGAAUCCCCCGUGAGGACAGACGUGUGUUUUGUUUGCAGUACAAAACCAAAACUAUGCUAGAAACAUCUUCUGCAUUAGAGAAAAGGGAUGGCCUCAUCCCUGUCAAUUCAUUUUGGGGAUCUCUAACAAUUUACACCAAAACAAAUGAAUGAAUGAUCACUGAUUUUUUUUCUUCUUCUUUUUUUUAAAAAGAGCCCCCUCCUGUUCUCUUACCAGGGAGGCAUUAUUCUAACGACAGUGGAUCCGGAUUUAAAAAAGAAAGAAAAAAUCCUGAAUCGACACCAAGAGAGUUCGAUCUAAAGAAGGACAUUUUCUUCUUCAAAAUAAGGGCGGUCUGGUUUUGCUACUGUUUACAGAGAAAAAAAAAGACUAAAGUAAAUACAACCACGAGAACUCAAGAAGAUAUACAACAGAAUCCCUGUACCACUUCCAGGGUCUCCAAAUAAUGAAUAUUCUCAAUUUGUCAUUUUGUAAUACUUAGGCAACAUUGGCUUAUAGGUCCAAAGUUAUAUUAUAAGCCAUAUCCAGUUCUUUUUUGUGGGUUUGUUGGUUGGUGUGUUCCUGUUUUGAGUAACUGAGUGGGCAGAGGUGGGUUUUUAGUAUUAGAGGAGCUGUAAGGAGCUAC